rnacentral:misc_RNA from 1 species
UGGUUCUGGCAUCGAUGAAGAACGCAGCGAAAUGCGAUAAGUAAUGUGAAUUGCAGAAUUCAGUGAAUCAUCGAAUCUUUGAACGCACAUUGCGCCCAUUAGUAUUCUAGUGGGCAUGCCUGUUCGAGCGUCAUUACAACCCCUAAGCCCGGCUUAGUGUUGGGGUCCCGCCCUUACCGGCGGCCCCCUAAACGGAGCGUGCGAGCUCGCGGUAGACUCGAAGCGUAGUAAUCAUAACCUCGCUCCCGGGACGCCGCGCGCCUAGCCGUAAAACCCCCCAUAUUUACGUGGUUGACCUCGGAUCAGGUAGGAAUACCCGCUGA